GUAGACGCUACGGACUUGAAAAUCCGUUGGCUUUAUUGACCGUGAGGGUUCAAGUCCCUCUACCCCC
rnacentral:tRNA from 1 species